CCUACGGGAGGCUGCAGUGGGGAAUAUUGCGCAAUGGGCGAAAGCCUGACGCAGCGACGCCGCGUGAGGGAUGAAGGUCUUCGGAUCGUAAAACUCUGUCAGCAGGGAAGAACGGUCACUGUGCUAAUCAGCAGUGAAUUGACGGUACCUGCAAAGGAAGCACCGGCUAACUCCGUGCCAGCAGCCGCGGUAAUACGGAGGGUGCGGGCGUUAAUCGGAAUUACUGGGCGGAAAGCGCUCGUAGGCGGGAUGUCAAGUCAAGGGUGAAAUCCCCGCGCUCAACGUGGGAACUGCCUUUGAAACUGGCAAACUGGAGUGUGGUAGAGGAUAGUGGAAUUCCAGGUGUAGGAGUGAAAUCCGUAGAUAUCUGGAGGAACAUCAGUGGCGAAGGCGACUAUCUGGCACAUAACUGACGCUGAGGAGCGAAAGCGUGGGUAGCAAACAGGAUUAGAUACCCCUGUAGUC
rnacentral:rRNA from 1 species